rnacentral:rRNA from 1 species
UGGGGAAUUUUGGACAAUGGGGGAAACCCUGAUCCAGCCAUCCCGCGUGUGCGAUGAAGGCCUUCGGGUUGUAAAGCACUUUUGGCAGGAAAGAAACGUCAUGGGUUAAUACCCCGUGAAACUGACGGUACCUGCAGAAUAAGCACCGGCUAACUACGUGCCAGCAGCCGCGGUAAUACGUAGGGUGCAAGCGUUAAUCGGAAGUACUGGGCGUAAAGCGUGCGCAGGCGGUUGGGAAAGAAAGAAGUGAAAUCCCAGAGCUCAACAUUGGAACUUCAUUUUUAACUACCGGGCUAGAGUGUGUCAGAGGGAGGUGGAAUUCCGCGUGUAGCAGUGAAUUGCGUAGAUAUGCAAAGCAACACCGAUGGGGAAGGCAGCCGACUGGAAUAACACUGACGCUCAUGCACGAAAGCGUGGGGAGCAAACAGG